GGAGGUAUGGCUCAGUAGUAGAGCAUCCACCUGGCAUGUGUGAGGCCCUGGGUUCCAUUCCCAGCACCACCA
rnacentral:tRNA from 1 species